rnacentral:rRNA from 1 species
GCUCAGUAACACGUAGUCAACAUGCCCAGGGGACGUGGAUAACCUCGGGAAACUGAGGAUAAACCGCGAUAGGUCAUAAUAUCUGGAAUGAUUUCUGGCUGAAAUCUAUAUGGCCCCUGGAUUGGACUGCGGCCGAUCAGGCUGUUGGUGAGGUAAUGGCCCACCAAACCUAAAACCGGUACGGGCUCUGAGAGGAGAAGCCCGGAGAUGGGCACUGAGACAAGGGCCCAGGCCCUAUGGGGCGCAGCAGGCGCGAAAACUCUGCAAUAAGCGAAAGCUUGACAGGGUUAUUCUGAGUGAUUUCCGCUAAGGAAAUCUUUUGGCACCUCUAAAAAUGGUGCAGAAUAAGGGGUGGGCAAGCCUGGUGUCAGCCGCCGCGGUAAUACCAGCACCCCGAGUGGUCGGGACGAUUAUUGGGCCUAAAGCAUCCGUAGCCGGUUCUACAAGUCUUCCGUUAAAUCCACCUGCUUAACAGAUGGGCUGCGGAGGAUACUAUGGAGCUAGGAGGCGGGAGAGGCAAGCGGUACUUAGUGGGUAGGGGUAAAAUCCGUUGAUCCAUUGAAGACCACCAGUGGCGAAGGCGGCUUGCCAGAACGCACUCGACGGUGAGGGAUGAAAGCUGGGGGAGCAAACCGGAUUAGAUACCCGGGUAGUCCCAGCUGUAAACGAUGCAGACUCGGUGAUG